rnacentral:rRNA from 1 species
AUUGAACGCUGGCGGCAUGCUUUACACAUGCAAGUCGAACGGCAGCGGGGAGGAGCUUGCUUCUCUGCCGGCGAGUGGCGACCGGGUGAGUAAUACAUCGGAACGGGUCGAGAAGAGGGGGAUAACCACCCGAAAGGGUGGCUAAUACCGCAUAAAUUCUGAGGAAGAAAGCUGGGGACCUGGGAAUAGGCCUAGCGCUUUUUGAGCGGCCGAUGUCGGAUUAGCUAGUUGGUGAGGUAAAGGCUCACCAAGGCGAAGAUCUGUAGCGGGUCUGAGAGGAUGAUCCGCGACACUGGGACUGAGACACGGCCCAGCCUCCUACGGGAGGCAGCAGUGGGGAAUGUUGGACAAUGGGGGCAACCCUGAUCCAGCCAUGCCGCGUGUAUGAAGAAGGCCUUAGGGUUGUAAAGUACUUUUGUUAGGGAAGAAAAGUCAGCUGUGAAUAAUGGCUGAUACUGACGGUACCUAAAGAAUAAGCACCGGCUAACUACGUG